rnacentral:rRNA from 1 species
UAGCCUGCCCACUGAAUUAUUUUUAAAGGGCCGCGGUAUACUGACCGUGCGAAGGUAGCAUAAUCAUUAGUCUUUUAAUUGAAGGCUUGUAUGAAUGGUUGGACAAAAAGUAAUCUGUCUCAAUUGUAAUAGUUGAACUUAACUUUUAAGUGAAAAGGCUUAAAUACUUUAAGGGGACGAUAAGACCCUAUAAAACUUGACAAUAAAUUAGUUAAAUUAUAAAUUGUUAGUAUAACUUGAUCUUAAUUAAUGUUUGUUGCGUUGGGGCGACGGGAAUAUAAUUAGUAACUGUUCUUAAAUACUUAUUAACAAGUAUAAUUGAAAAAUAAUUGAUCCUUUAUUAAAGAUUAAAAGAUUAAGUUACUUUAGGGAUAACAGCGUAAUCUUCUUUGAGAAGUCCUCAUCGACAAGAAGGUUUGCGACCUCGAUGUUGAAUUGAGGUAUCCUUAUAAUGCAGCAGUUAUAAAGGA